UACCAGCACCCCGAGUGGUCGGGACGUUUAUUGGGCCUAAAGCAUCCGUAGCCGGUUCUACAAGUCUUCCGUUAAAUCCAGCUGCUUAACAGAUGGGCUGCGGAAGAUACUAUGGAGCUAGGAGGCGGGAGAGGCAAGCGGUACUCGAUGGGUAGGGGUAAAAUCCGUUGAUCCAUUGAAGACCACCAGUGGCGAAGGCGGCUGCCAGAACGCGCUCGACGGUGAGGGAUGAAAGCUGGGGGAGCAACCGGG
rnacentral:rRNA from 1 species